rnacentral:rRNA from 1 species
GACGUAGGGCGCGAGCGUUGUCCGGAUUUAUUGGGCGUAAAGAGCUCGUAGGCGGCUCAUUGCGUCAACCGUGAAAACCAGCAGCUCAACUGUUGGCUUGCGGUUGAUACGGGUGGGCUGGAGUUCGGUAGGGGAGACUGGAAUUCCUGGUGUAGCGGUGAAAUGCGCAGAUAUCAGGAGGAACACCGGUGGCGAAGGCGGUUCUCUGGGCAUUACCUGACGCUGAGGAGCGAAAGCGUGGGGAGCAAACAGG